rnacentral:lncRNA from 1 species
CAAACAUUGAAGUCUGUGUGCCCUUUCUGGCAAAGCUUCAGUGCUAGAAUGAUGAUUUCAGCUUCUGUUUACACUGUAUUCAGCCAUGUGCUGUAUGCACUGCGUGCAUUAUCCUACAUGAUCCCUUGGACAACCCUACAGGAUAGGUGCUCCUGUGUCCGUUUCACAGACUAGGACACUAAGGUUCCCAUAAGUCCUGGCACCUGCAUGCUCACCGAGGCUGUCUCUGCCGCUCAUCUCCUGGGCCCAUUUCACAGAGGAAGACUCUAAAGCUCCUGUAAGUCCUGGCACCCGCCUGCUCGCCAAGGUAACAAACUAGAAGAGCGUCACAGCUUGUCCAGAGAGAAAGCUGAGCCCAUUGUCAAAAUCAGUACUGCAGCCUUUGCUGACUGUGACUAUUUAACAUCUCAACACACUGGGGGAUUAAUUACUUGAACAUUUGGGGGAAUAACAACAACUUGAAACUCAUAUUUUAACCUGUAUGUCAUGAAUAUUAACAAAGACAAAUUUAUAACUGACUUGACUAUUUUGUGUGUUUUUGCUUUUAAGAAACAGUUGGCUUCUGUAGGAAUGAACAAUAAGAAAUAACAAAAUUUAUUUGUUAGUAAAUUUUCCUCCAGUGAAUAUGCAUGCACCAGACUCACUGCAGCAAACUCAGUCGUCUUUGAAGGAUAAAACACAGAAAACCAUUUUGUUGUACAAUGAGAUGAGUUAUUUGAACUUAAGACAUGUUUUUUUUUCAUAAGUUUUUAUGAACUAGGUAUCGCAUGUCCCAUAAGGG